rnacentral:rRNA from 1 species
CGCCACGCCCGCUCAGAAACUCAAAGGCAUUGACGGGGGCCCGCACAAGCGGAGGAGCAUGUGGUUUAAUUCGAUGAUACGCGAGGAACCUUACCUGGGCUCGAACGUAAGAUGACUGUAGGUGAAAGCUUACAUCUCUUCGGAGCAUUUUACGAGGUGCUGCAUGGUUGUCGUCAGCUCGUGCCGUGAGGUGUCGGGUUAAGUCCCAUAACGAGCGCAACCCCUACCUUUAGUUGCCAUCAGGUAAUGCUGGGGACUCUAAAGGAACUGCCUACGCAAGUAGUGAGGAAGGCGGGGAUGACGUCAAAUCAGCACGGCCCUUACGUCCAGGGCUACACACGUGCUACAAUGGCCGAUACAGAGGGCAGCUACCUGGUGACAGGAUGCAAAUCUCCAAAGUCGGUCUCAGUUCGGAUCGGAGUCUGCAACCCGACUCCGUGAAGUUGGAUUCGCUAGUAAUCGCGCAUCAGCCAUGGCGCGGUGAAUACGUUCCCGGGCCUU